CCUAUAUCGAGCUCUGUAUUAGAGUAACCUAGACAAAAUGUAUGUUUCCCCCAACACUAUUCUUUUAGUUAGGAAAAUCUAACCAACCUCAUAAUAUUUUGUUUUGUCUUAGCAAUAUUGAGAUCCCAGUAUACUUGAGGCUUGGACCUAUUAAAUUUGGAGAACUCAAAAAAAUAUAUGCCAAUUCUGGCCCGUAAACUUUUUUUUUUGAAGUCACAAAAAGCCCAACUAAAAUAAAAAGAAACAACAAUUAAGAAACAAACAUUAAGAUCCGAACAACUAAAACCUAGAUCUAGGGCCGUUUUUUGUUCUCACUCUCGUCUCCUCCCUCUCUCUCGCAUCGCAUUCUUCUGAGCGCCGCUCUCGGUCUCUUUCACUCUCUUUCUCGUCUUCGGCCUCUCAGUGCAGCCGCCGUCGCCGGCUCCCGCGUCUCCCUCAUCUCCUCAUCUUUCGAUGCACCGCCGCCCUCGCUUGCCCAACCCCAUCGUCUCUCAGUCUCCCUCACCGCCGACUCGCCCUGCCUCCCCGUCCUGCGUUCGCACCAGUAGCCUCUGUCCAACAGAUUGUAAAAACAAUUGGCAGAUUAAAAUUCAAAUUUAGGCUUCACAAAUUGGAGCCAAAACUAGGUGGAGGUGCACCAGUUCCGGAGCCAAGUGAAGAAAAAUUUGAAGCUGCUCGGAAAAAACUCGAAAGCCGCAGAAAUUCCAAAAGAAAAUAGCUAUAAACCAGGUUUUCCUGUUGCUUCCCAUCUUUUAUGGUGCACUCGAAGUUCUAGUUUCUCUUUUUGAAGCACUUGUAUUUAUGAAUAUGACUGCAUAAGGCAACUAUUUUAUAUAUGAAUUACUUAUAUUAGCUAUACA